rnacentral:rRNA from 1 species
CAGUCGCCGCGGGAACACGAAGGGUGCAAGCGUUACUCGGAAUUACUGGGCGUAAAGCGUGCGUAGGUGGUGGUUUAAGUCUGCUGUGAAAGCCCUGGGCUCAACCUGGGAAUUGCAGUGGAUACUGGAUCACUAGAGUGUGGUAGAGGGAUGCGGAAUUUCUGGUGUAGCAGUGAAAUGCGUAGAGAUCAGAAGGAACAUCCGUGGCGAAGGCGGCAUCCUGGGCCAACACUGACACUGAGGCACGAAAGCGUGGGGAGCAAACAGGAUUAGAUACCCCAGUAGUCCCUGUCUCUUAUAC